GUUAGCGGCGGACGGGUGAGUAACACGUGGAUAACCUACCUAUAAGACUGGGAUAACUUCGGGAAACCGGAGCUAAUACCGGAUAACAUAUUGAACCGCAUGGUUCAAUAGUGAAAGGCGGCUUUGCUGUCACUUAUAGAUGGAUCCGCGCCGUAUUAGCUAGUUGGUAAGGUAACGGCUUACCAAGGCAACGAUACGUAGCCGACCUGAGAGGGUGAUCGGCCACACUGGAACUGAGACACGGUCCAGACUCCUACGGGAGGCAGCAGUAGGGAAUCUUCCGCAAUGGGCGAAAGCCUGACGGAGCAACGCCGCGUGAGUGAUGAAGGUCUUCGGAUCGUAAAACUCUGUUAUCAGGGAAGAACAAAUGUGUAAGUAACUGUGCACAUCUUGACGGUACCUGAUCAGAAAGCCACGGCUAACUACGUGCCAGCAGCCGCGGUAAUACGUAGGUGGCAAGCGUUAUCCGGAAUUAUUGGGCGUAAAGCGCGCGUAGGCGGUUUUUUAAGUCUGAUGUGAAAGCCCACGGCUCAACCGUGGAGGGUCAUUGGAAACUGGAAAACUUGAGUGCAGAAGAGGAAAGUGGAAUUCCAUGUGUAGCGGUGAAAUGCGCAGAGAUAUGGAGGAACACCAGUGGCGAAGGCGACUUUCUGGUCUGUAACUGACGCUGAUGUGCGAAAGCGUGGGGAUCAAACAGGAUUAGAUACCCUGGUAGUCCACGCCGUAAACGAUGAGUGCUAAGUGUUAGGGGGUUUCCGCCCCUUAGUGCUGCAGCUAACGCAUUAAGCACUCCGCCUGGGGAGUACGACCGCAAGGUUGAAACUCAAAGGAAUUGACGGGGACCCGCACAAGCGGUGGAGCAUGUGGUUUAAUUCGAAGCAACGCGAAGAACCUUACCAAAUCUUGACAUCCUUUGACCGCUCUAGAGAUAGAGUCUUCCCCUUCGGGGGACAAAGUGACAGGUGGUGCAUGGUUGUCGUCAGCUCGUGUCGUGAGAUGUUGGGUUAAGUCCCGCAACGAGCGCAACCCUUAAGCUUAGUUGCCAUCAUUAAGUUGGGCACUCUAAGUUGACUGCCGGUGACAAACCGGAGGAAGGUGGGGAUGACGUCAAAUCAUCAUGCCCCUUAUGAUUUGGGCUACACACGUGCUACAAUGGACAAUACAAAGGGCAGCUAAACCGCGAGGUCAAGCAAAUCCCAUAAAGUUGUUCUCAGUUCGGAUUGUAGUCUGCAACUUCGACUACAUGAAGCUGGAAUCGCUAGUAAUCGUAG
rnacentral:rRNA from 1 species